rnacentral:rRNA from 1 species
UACGUAGGUGGCGAGCGUUAUCCGGAAUUACUGGGCGUAAAGAGUGCGUAGGCGGUUCGUUAAGUCAGCUGUGAAAGCCCCGGGCUCAACCUGGGAACUGCGGUUGAAACUGGCGAACUAGAAUCUGGCAGAGGGGGGUGGAAUUCCACGUGUAGCAGUGAAAUGCGUAGAGAUGUGGAGGAACACCGAUGGCGAAGGCAGCCCCCUGGGCUGAGAUUGACGCUCAUGCACGAAAGCGUGGGGAGCAAACAGG